AACAAGGGAAUCAGAGAUGAACUAAGAGUGCAGCAGUCAGGAGAACUUCACAGCGAAAGCAACCCCAGGGAGGUAGCCACAGCCACCAAGCUGUUUCCCUCUGUCAUCUGGUUAUACCAAGCACAUCCUGUUUCCAUGGGGACAAGAACUGGGAAGGAGCCAUAAAGGAAAGAAAGAAGAGUCUUCUGGAUUAUAUACCAACUUAUUAUUAACAAUGACAUUCUUCUGCUCAGUCCUUGAAUUUCUCAUGCUGGAGGAUUUAGUUUAAUUUGGUUAACCCAGAGAAGAUGUUGUGGAUGUGAGUUUUAAUGAAAAUGUAACGUCAUCAACCUCGACAGCUCUGGAGUCAUAACCUCAAGGAGAAAUAGGAUAAGGAGGGACUAUAGCAAACUAAACAAUAUUCAAGUGGUAUAUGUGCACGUCUGUUACAUGGGUAUAUUGCUUGACUCCGAGGCCUGGGGUAUUAAUGAUUCUAACACCAAGUAGUACUUGAGGAAUCACCACACUGUCUUCCACAAUGGUUGAACUAAUUUACACUCCCACCAAGAGUGUAAAAGUGUUCCUGUUUCUCCACAUCCUCUUCAGCAUCUGUUGUCUCCAGACUUUUUAAUGAUCCCCAUUCUAACAGGCGUGAGAUGGUAUCUCAAUGUGGGUUUGAUUGUUUUUUUAUAUUUUUGUUGGCUACACGCAUGUCUUCUUUUGAGAAGUGUAUAUUCAUGUCCUUUGCCCAUUUUUAACGGUGUUGUUUUUUGCUUGUUAAAUUGCUUAAGUUCUUUAUAGAUUCUGGAUAUGAGACCUUUGUCAGAUACAUAAUUUGCAAAUAUUUUUUCCCAUGCAAUGAUUUUUCUUAGGAAACAUUUUUCCAUAGAAAAAUAAAACUAGAUUUUUAUGUUAGCAGUGGCAGAAACUACUGGAUGUCAACAAACUUAAAAUGCAAAUUUUAAAAUCAAUAUUAAAAUAAUUACUUAGAAUUUUUAUGUACUGUAUAUCUACAAAAAUGUUGAGUUUUUUAGAUAUAGAUUUUUAUCAAAUAUCACACAAAAUCACAUUGCUCUGUUUCCUUGCCUUUCUGCAGAAACCCAGUGUGAUUUUGUGAAGAUAUUUUGAAUCAUGAACACAACAUAUGCAGUACUGUCAAUGCAAGUAACUCAAAUGAAGUGAUGACAAGAUAAAACACUUGUGAUCAAGUUCAGGAGUGUGUAGGCAGUGACGAUUACGUUGUGACUGUCACCUGGCCAACAGUAAUUCAUUUUAAGUUGAAUCCCUGAUUCAGAAGUAGCCAAGUAUAAAAAUAUGCAUAUUACUAUUAAUGAAAUACUUUCAUCUAUAGUGCUUAAAUGAGUUUCUGAAGUAUUAAUUUUAUAGGAAAACUUACGUUUACUUUUCUUUAAACCUUAAAAAUUUUAAAAACUAUAUAUUUAAAAAUAAACUACUUUCACAACAGAA